UAGAUGAGGAUGAAGCAAAAUACUAUUAAUCCAACACUUGAUCUGAGAUAAUCUAUUCGUUUAUCUUUUGAUGUUAUGUGUAGCUUCUGAAUCUAC
rnacentral:snoRNA from 1 species